GCCGCCCGUCUUAAGUUUCGAGCGAUUUGGGGGAAGGAAGGAGGACCGAGAAGGAAAGCCAGGGGAGGGAGGGUCGGGGGCAGAAGGAAAAAAGCCGGGAGAGGAAGAAGAAAGAAAUCUUCCUUUUGCAGAAAGAGGCAUAUUGGGGCUUAGAGGUUACCAAAGCACAAGGUUUUACUUUGUUUUGCAACCGAGGCGUUCAGGGUGAGGCUGGCGCGAGGGAAGGUGGAUGGGGAGAAGAGGGCUUAGUGGAUGGCGAGAUUUAUUUAUCCCUUUGGAUCCUCUCGGGGAUGACUUUGGUGCUGGACUCCUAAAAAUACCUUUGAAGGACCCCCCACUGCCCCCCGCCCCUCUCCUCGGAACUAUUGGAGGUUGCCCUAAGAACAUCAGAUUUCUCCAGACCUCUCCACCCCUUCGCCCCAGGGAAGGCGGGAGGAAGUGCAGCCGGGACUGUGGCUUCGAGCCUCUGCGCUCCCGCGGACCCGCGUCCGCGUCCUCGUUACCACUCCAAAGCCGGGCAGACACAGCCCCUUUCCAAUGCUGCAUUUUUCUUCUGUGAACAUCAAGACGCAUCAAGAGACUUCCAAGUUAGCCUGCGGGCGCAGACGCCGCUUCGGUCCUGGCUUUAUCUCUAGGGAAACUUCCGUUUUUAGAGCCAGAUGCCAACAUUCCCGGACAGUUUAUGGCAUCCGGAUCCCUCAAGGGCGCUCAUCUGCAGUUUAGAGUGUUAGCAGCAGUUGCUUGUCGGCUGUCCUGGAGAAGAAAUCCCGAACACGGAUGUCCUCUGCUGGCCCUGAAGGGGGUUGGGGGGAGGUGCACAACUGUUCCCGAUGCUCUUAUCUGGGUUAGCAGAGUUUGUUGUGGUUUUCGAGGAAACAGCAUCUGGAUUACAUAAGGAUUCAAGUUUUUGCUUUACUUGUUUAUUGAAUACCUUGGCAAGAGGUGGCCCUUACUCUGAAACCAGAUAACCGAAUUUGGGUCUAAAACAGCCUUAGAUAGGGGCGACUAGAGGGGAGGAAAGGAGCAGAGCCACAGAAAGCAAACCACGGGGAUGUUUAUUUUUCUCCCUUUGGGUAUUUUUUUUAAGACCGGCCCAAGCUCCUCCACUUCUUGACGCACAAGCUAGUGACUGCAUUAACAACGCGCCUGAGCUACCACAACGGCGUAGCAGUCAUCCCUUCCCCCACACCACCACGAUCCGGCCCUAAUUCCUUCUAGGAUCGGCGCGCGGUCCUGUUUGCCCAGGGAUCUCAAGGGCACCAGGAAAAAUGCCGUGCUAAAUCCAAUUGCUUUCAACCGUCUGAUCUUCCUGUAAGGAGAUCACCUUUCAGCUCCGUUCAAAGAAAGCAAAGUUUGGGAAGUUCGGCGGAGGGGCCGAUUUAACUACCAGCACAGCAAAUAUUUAGUUACAAAUGCUGUGAAGGGCCCCGAUUUGUGGCCGCGCUUGGCUUUCACAAAGGAUUUUCCUGUGACUUUUGUUCCGGUCACCAAAUUAAAAAAGAAAAUUAACUUGAGCGAGAGAUAAGGUCUUGGAAAACAAUCCCGGGCCGCCCGCGAGCUGGCGGGCGCGGGGCUGGCGUCGCCGAGUCUACGCCGCCCCGAGGCGCGCGUCGUGGGGUCCGGCCCCAGCUGGGACCCUCAGCCGCCUCGCCCUCCCCGCGUCGGAGCGCAGCGCCCAGGCCUCCUUGGCGUCCGCCGGCGUCCGUGGGAAUCCGCCGCAGCCCCCUCCAGACGGCGACGAGGGCAGGCUUGCACGGAAUCGACCUACGUCUUAAUAUUAUAAUGCGGCACCAAAAGCAAAACCCCAGGCUCCAGCUUGAGAGCCCCUAACAAGAAACACAUUGUGUACUUUUUUUCUUUCUGGCCGAAGCCACGUUUGCGCGCCAGCCGGGACGCAGCGCCAAGUCCGUGACUUCAGUGGGGAGGAACCAGGGGAGGAACCCGCCCGCCCCGCAGCACGUGCGCGCCCGACGGGGGUGGCCUCCCCACCGCGACCCUCGCCGGGGCCGCCUCCAGGGCCCAGGCGGGGAGCCGAGGGGGGUGCGCUUGGCGGACACGGGUCCUGGGCGGGCGGCGCUUUGGGCAUAGCCCUUUGGCGACCAGAGGCCGGCACGGCCCCACACCUGAGGCCUGGCGGCACCAGCGCGGUAACUGUAAUCGCUGAUCUUAGGUUGAGUUGAUAGACUUGUUUAUAAAAUGAUUUUGACACCCAUCCCUGACCUCCUGCCUACAGCUGGAUGGCUUUCACUUCCCUGUCCUUUUUUCACUUUACUGUGUCCCCUUCCUCACCCCCACUCUGCCAAUCUCCAUGACAAUUUACAUACCUCUUUCCCAGUUAGACCGAAAUCACAGAACAUUUUGCAAGGCCCUUGAUACCUGUCACGUGUCACUGCUACCCCAUUCUGCAAAAGGGGACAGGAUCUAGGGCUGCAUCCUCUGGGAGGCAAGUGCUGGGGACUUCGGGAGCAGAAGGUACCUGUAGGGACUCCUGCAGCAGUCCCUCGGCACCUGCUAUCAGCAUUCUGGGGGUCCUAACAUCUUCCCAGUGCCAGGACCCAAUGACACCAGGGGCCUGGGUCUGCUUCCAUGCUGCAGCACCCAUCAGCAGGACCCUGGAGGAAAGGCCAGGUGAAUUAACUCCUAUAUUUUAUUUUAACCAUGCCUGCCUUUCUGGAACUAUGUGAGGAGCACAGAUAUUAUAUUUUAAAGAAAAAAGAGCCACAUGGUGGUCCUUUUUAAGGGAGAUUAAACAUUUGCACUGGGUAAGAAUAAUGAAUUAUUUACAAGCCUUUCACAGCUCACCUGUUUUGCCCUUUACCUUGACCUGAUGAGUUAGGCAGGGCAGAUGCUGACCCCAUUUUACAGAAGAAGCUGAGGCACAGAUGAAUGGGCCCAAACUCCCUGGGACAACCUUCUGUGACCAUGCAAAGGUGUGUGACCUUGACCCCAUGUGGGGUGUUGAUUACUUUUAUACCUUGCAGUUUGUUCCAGUCCUGCAGUGCUGGAUUACCCAAAGCCAGGGAUUUGCAAAACACUUUGUUCUCACCUUCCUCAGAAGUUAACACUGAGUGACUGAGCUUGACCCUUUAUUAACAAAAAGUCAACUUAGAUCUGGGGACUUUUCAAAGCUUAGUGUAUGUACCACCUUUACAUGCAGAGUCCUGGGGCCCACCUCUGGAACUGCUGAAUCAGAGAGUUUAGUGAGCAACUUAGGAACCAGCCUUUCAACAAGGAAGUGCUAAUGUGCGGGGUGCAGGGACCACACUCUGAGACUCCUCAGGUGAACAACUGGCUUAUUGAAUCACCCCUGCAGUUGGUGCAAUUUGCCUUCUGGGAAAGAAUGAGCCAUCUUGGACCUGAGGACCAACACAUUUGUUUUCAGAAAACUUAAGAGGACAAGAGUCUCCUGUGAUACUGUUUGCCCUUCAGAGGACACCACUGGUAUGAAGACGGUAAGGCUUGAGUGCUGAGAAGGGGCAAUAGCUGUUGGCAGCUGCCCAAAAGCCUCUAUCUUGCCCUGUGACCCCAUCCCCACGUGGCCACUUCUGAUCCUGAGAAAAGAGGCAGGAAUGGGUUGAUGCAACUACAAUUCAUUACAUCCUGCUUUGAAGUCAUGAGUCCCGUAUUCCCAGUCAGGGGCCCCAAUAAAAUGCAGAAGAGCAGAACUCUUGCAAUAAAGUGUCCCAGUUCUUUUGGCCACUGCUAGUGUGUGUGGGGGGGUGUGCUUGGAGGGAGGUGGGAGCUAAAGGCUCCCGCCUCUGUCCCUUUCAAGAACCCUUGAAAAAGCCUUGGCCUUUAGGGGCAGCUUUAACAUGGCCCUCUGUUUCUUUAUGCUUCGUGAGCAUCUGCACACCUGACUGCAGUGUGUCCCCAGGUGAGUCGCGGUGAGCUCUGGGCUCCCAGCUUCUCCAUCUGCAUGUUGAGGUUUAAAUAAGGUAGAAGACCAGAGGAAGCAUUUCAACUCGGAAUUUACCCCUCAAAGUGAGUCUGAGAACCGGCAGCCUGGGCACACUGAGAAAUGCAGGAUGUCGGGAUCUAACCCGUGAGAAUGAACCGGAAGCUGCAAUUAACCAGAGCCUGGAUGGCUCCUGGGCAGCGAAGCUGAGACGUGUGGAACUGACAUUCUAUCUGAGACUGUGGACAGAGCCAUCUAGCAAAAAUGCUCACACACUCACCUUUAAAGUAGCAUCUUUUCAAGAGCAACACCAUCCCUUUGAAUCACUUAGCAGACUUAACAGCACUGCUGUCUCUGGCUUUCACAUUGACCAGCAGCGCAGGGAGCAACGGUCCCAUUUUGCAGAUUAAGUGGCUGAGUGCAAAGGUUCCCUAUGGGCCGCUGUGUCCUGAUGACCGCCCUUGGGGGAAAGAAAGGCCACGCUGUCUGUGGGGCUACAGACGGAGCGCCCUGCACAGGUCCAUGCGUGGGACGUCUUCUGGGCGGUGUGCCAGGGGAAAGCUGCACACUUGGGUGCGUGUGCCUUGUCCCAGCACCAUGGCCAGGGCAGGCGGCCCUUUUGAUCCUGUUUCCCUGUUCAUAAGUGUGACUGGUGACAGCACCGCCCUCUGAAUGCGAUUUUGAACAUUCCAAGCACUUCAGAUGUACUACCUGGAAGAAUGUAAAUGCUCAAUAAAUAGGGUGGCCAGAUAAGAUGCAGAACAUCCAUUUACAUUUAAUUUUCAGGUAAACAAUGAGGGUUUUUUUAGUGAUAGUCCCCGUAUUUUAUCCGCUAAAUCUAACAACCUUUUCAGUAAAUGAUCACUGUGACAGCCACAACCACUCCUUUUGACAGAGCCUAAGAAUCUGUAAAGAAGUAGGAACUGGCUUUUAUUUACCAGCUGGGACUAGUUAAGAUAACAGGCGAGAAGAUAACGUGUAGAAUGUGGAGCACAGCCAAACCGCUGUGGAGCCGUCAGGACCAGAACGGCCAGAGUAGGCCACCGCAGGGCUCUUUCGAAAGCUGCAGUUUCCAUAGACCCUCUUGGACCUAAAUGGGUCCUCAGCUCCCCUCCACUGUUCUGCGCAUGCCUGCUCCUCUUAUCAGGUCCCAAUCCAUUUCCAGGGCAGGUGUCUGUGGCUGAGUUAGCUGCUGCAGUGCGGACGGCUGUAACAAGCAAACCCGAGGGUGUGUAACCACCUCCCCAGGCUGAGGUCCGCCUGUCACUCAAAGUCCAAAGAGGGUGUUAGCAACGGCAGGCAGCUCUGCCCUGAGCUGUGACUCAGGGAUGCAGGCUCGGCCCGUCUUUGUGGCUCUGCCAUGUUCACCGUGUG